rnacentral:rRNA from 1 species
UGGACGAAANCUGACGCUGAGGCGCGAAAGCCAGGGGAGCGAACGGGAUUAGAUACCCCGGUAGUCCUGNCCGUAAACGAUGGGUACUAGGUGUAGGAGGUAUCGACCCNUUCUGUGCCGGAGUUAACGCAAUAAGUACCCCGCCUGGGGAGUACGACCGCAAGGUUGAAACUCAAAGGAAUUGACGGGGGCCCGCACAAGCGGUGGAGUAUGUGGUUUAAUUCGACGCAACGCGAAGAACCUUACCAGGUCUUGACAUUGAUGGACAGAACUAGAGAUAGUUCCUCUUCUUCGGAAGCCAGAAAACAGGUGGUGCACGGUUGUCGUCAGCUCGUGUCGUGAGAUGUUGGGUUAAGUCCCGCAACGAGCGCAACCCCUAUCUUAUGUUGCCAGCACUUCGGGUGGGAACUCAUGAGAGACUGCCGCAGACAAUGCGGAGGAAGGCGGGGAUGACGUCAAAUCAUCAUGCCCCUUAUGACCUGGGCUACACACGUACUACAAUGGGAGUUAAUAGACGGAAGCGAAACCGCGAGGUGGAGCAAACCCGAGAAACACUCUCUCAGUUCGGAUCGUAGGCUGCAACUCGCCUACGUGAAGUCGGAAUCGCUAGUAAUCGCAGGUCAGCAUACUGCGGUGAAUACGUUCCCGGGCCUUGUACACACCGCCCGUCACACCACGAAAGUCGGAAGUGCCCAAAGCCGGUNGGGUAAC